UAGUAUUCCUGCUUCGCGCUGGGUAUCGCGCGUCUACUACAAGCUGUUAGCGUCACUUGCGAAGUUGUUUACUGGAGGAUCGAUUAUAAGAAAAUUUACUUUUUUCGUGAAUAAAGCUCAGAAUGGCAGCUACAGCUAAGAAAGGCGCAAAGAAGGCUGAUGCCCCAGCAAAACCAAAGAAAGCAACAAAGCCCAAGUCUCCCAAAAAGGCUGCAAAGAAGGCAGGAGCAAAAAAGGGAGUUAAGAGAGCUGGAAAGAAAGGAGCAAAGAAGACCACUAAGGCCAAGAAGUAGAUGAUUUUCUUGCAGACAUUUUCACAAUCCAGGGAUUUCCUCAUCAGUCAUCGUGUAGACCUAGAUUUCCACCCCUCUCUGACUUUGUCAUCUCAUUUUUUUGAGAAUGACCGAAUCUCUUUUAUUAUAUAGAUCUAUAUAUAACUGUUUUAUAGAAUAGAUAUUUAUAGACGUGUGAACAACAAACGGUUUUAUACUCUGUCAAAGCUGACUGUUUUUGAUUUUUGAGAUCAAUUUGAUAUUUACAAGUUGUUAAGAAUUUCUAAAUGUUAAAGAGAAUGAAAUUUUACCGAUGUUUUAUCAUAAUUUUUUGACUAAUCUCCAUUUUUGUCACAUUUUAUGAUUCUUUUUAUGACUGGGUGUGUAAUACUCUUUCUACAGUCUUGUACCAAGCCUGUAGGACUAUAAAUGUACAAUAAAUGUGUAUAAAACUAA